rnacentral:rRNA from 1 species
AAAGACUUGACGGUACUUCAUAACACCCUAGAGGAGCCUGUCUAAUAACCGAUAUCCCACGAUUAACCCCACCCGUUCUAGCCCCCCAGUCUAUAUACCGCCGUCGCCAGCUUACCUUGUGAAAGAGAUAAAGUAGGCAAAAUAAACCACCUUUAACACGACAGGUCAAGGUGUAGCUAAUGAACAGGCAAAAGAUGGGCUACAUUUUCUAACACAGAAAACACGAAUCACACCAUGAAAUCAAAACUGAAGGCGGAUUUAGUAGUAAGAUAAAAAUAGAAUGCUUA